UCCUUCUCUUUCUCUCUGCCUCUCAGUUUCUCAGUCUUUCAAUGGCGCUCAAGCUCCAUGGAAUUCCCAUGUCCACAUGCACCACUCGUGUCCUCACCUGUCUCCAUGAGAAAGGCUUGGAUUUUGAGCUUGUCCCUGUUAAUCUCUUUGCAGGUGAACAUAAGCAGCCUCCUUUUCUUGCCAAGAAUGUGAGUCUCACUUCCCUCUUUCUUUCUAAUCAUCCCUCUUUAUUCUCUUUGAAGAUUUUACUUUUCUUUGGGGUUGUAUAAAUUAUGAUUUUCCUUGGUUUGGGUACAUUGUUUUUAGUGUGCAGUCUUGUCGAUUUGAUUUUGGUCUUGGUUUUGUUAUACAUAUAUGCAGCCCUUUGGACAGAUUCCAGUUCUGGAAGAUGGCGAUCUCACUCUUUUUGGUAAGUCCUCGGUUUUAAUCACUUUCCUCAUAAAAGCUUGAAAUUUGUUGUACUGUACUACCAUCAGGAUUGACAGUUCCUGAGAUUUAUUAGCUGCUUGCUUUUGAACAAAAUUUUGCUUUAAAAAAUUAAAGGAGUUUUUCUUACAAAAUCAUGCUAUUUAGUACAACAUACGAGCUGGGUCUAUGAUACUAUUAAGUAUACUAUUGCCCCAGCCUUACUGAAAAUCCCUAGUCGAUGAAGUUGGGUUACUGAAAUUAUGUAUAUGUACCAGAAUCUAGGGCAAUAACAGCAUAUUUGGCCGAGAAAUACAAGGAAACGGGGUGUGAUCUCUUGAGGCACAAUGACCUCAAAGAAGCUGCAUUGGUGAAGGUGUGGUUGGAGGUUGAAUCCCAACAAUAUCAUCCGGCAAUAUACCAGAUUGUGUACCAGUUCUUCGUGUUGCCUCUACAAGGCAAGACGGCCGAUCAGGCCAUUAUUGAUGUAAAUCUGGAGAAGUUGGGUAAGGUUCUGGAUGUGUAUGAGGCCAGGCUGGGCACCACAAAGUGCCUAGCAGGAGAUUUCUACAGCUUGGCUGAUCUUCACCACCUUUCUUACACUUACUAUUUCAUGAAGACGCCAUGGGCUUCCCUCAUAAACAGCCGUCCCAAUGUGAAGGCAUGGUGGGAGGACAUUUCCUCAAGGCCAGCUUUCAAGAAAGUGGCUGAAGGCAUGACUUUUGGUGAGAAGUGAUCGGUUUCUGAGCAGUGUGGCUCUAUGUUUUGGGGUAAUAUUAAUUGUAGUGGUUGCUGCCUCUUAAUUACGUGUAUUUAAGUGUGAGACCACGUAAUAAUUACUGAUUAUGUGUUAUGAUUUGCCCUAAAUUAAUCAGAAAUGUGGAAUUAUCUGGGGUUUCUCAUUGUGGUAAUUAAUCUGCUUGCAACCAGUUUUUGAAAGGGUUUGAUGCAUUUUUACUCCAUACUUUGCUUUAGCUAGGGUUAUGUUGGUGUCUCUAAGGCAUAAUGCUUCCAUUUUUGAGUCAUUGCAUACUCAGAUCAAAGUUUUCAAGACUUGUAGAAAAUGGGUUUUGGUAUUUUCAUGAAAGAGAAUGAAAGGGCAAAUUUCUUCACAAGGCAUGUAGUAAGGGUUUUCCCUUUCAAUCAGUCUUUUUCCUGAGAAACAAACAGAAUGUAUAUCAUGCCGUGUCAUCCACUGUGACAGUUUUCCUCUGAAGAGUUUUACUGCAGUACUUCCUAUUUAUUCCCAUUUUUACUUCCCAAACGAGGUAAACACGUACUGUACUGCAGCUCUGGUUAUUUUCAUCAUCCUUGCUUGUCCAAAGCAGCUUCACUCUUUGAACCUAUUUUUAUUGUUAUAUAUAUAUAUAUAUUAGGUCAAAUUAAUCUUCCAAUUUUCUAACUCUAAGCCCUUGCAAAGAGUUUUUGUAGUAUCAUAUGUAUCUACUAUCAGUCAAGCAGAAACUGGAUAAUGUUCUAUAUACGCUUCAAUAAUUAUGGAUCCAGCAAAGGAGAUCUUUUGUUAUGCUACGGGUCUCUACUAAAAUCUGAGGCUGGAACCCACUUCAAUUAUUCACUCAUUUUGUUCUCAUAGAACCUUCAGCCAUGUGACCCUCACCCUCCAACUAACUUUCAACCACAUCUACCACCUUUCUUUCCUUUUUAUUUUUAUUUUUUAGUUUUGACCUAAUUCCAUCUAACUCUCAAAAUGUAUUCUAAAUCAUGCAUCACAGUCUCAAAAUAUAUGUAGGCCCUUCUCUCUAGAUUCUUGAUUCUAUAGUCUUGUACAACCCAAAUUUCUUAGACUCUAGUCUGAAUAAGCUUGAUAGACAUGAUUGUGCUUAUUAUUUAAUAAUUUAAGUUUUUCUUAUAGUAAUUAAUAGUUUAAUAUGAUAUAAUAAAAUUUCUUAUCUUAAUUAAUUUGUAAAAUUAUCUAGAUGAGAUAAAUAGAUAGUCCUAAUUUUUAACUCCAAAAAUUGAUUUUUUUUCUCAAUUAUAAAUUUUCUUAAUCCAAUGCGAGAUUCAAAUAUCAAAAUAAUAGCUAGUUUCAUAAGACACUUGAUGUAUGUGGAAAACCAUCAACAAUCAUGGGUUUGCAAAACAAAGUAAUUACUAAAUCUAAAAGAAUAAGUACACAAUUUUUAUCAAAAUUUGAUACUAUCUUCUCCCAAGGGUCUUAUGUUGGCACAUAUUUACACUUGUUUUCAUGUUUGAGAUGCAACACCUUAUACCCUUUAGGAAACUCCUCAACUACUUGAUAACAUAUAAUCAACCAUUAUGAUUUGAUCUCAAAUAAGAGUUAAGCGAUUGAAAAUGUAUGUGUAGUGAGUUUGAAAUGAGAAUGAUAGAGAAAUUGAACUUUUUCAUUAGACUUUAAAUGAAGCCAUUAAGGAAGAGAUCCACUCCCAAGAUUAAUUCAAGAUGGGGAUAUAAAAAUGGUAUCUUACCAUAAUGACGUCAUCCAUCAAACUUUAUAUGAAGAAGAUAAAUCCAUUGGUUGAACUCUUUAUAGAGGAAUAAUUGACUCUUUAUCAUUAAACAAUAUAUGUUUGUUUUCAACUUGCAAAGAAUCUUAUUCUAGUGCUAUUAAAAAAAUUCUUAAAUAUUUAAAAAGAAUAAUUAAACUAUGUUUGUGAUAUCAUGCAUACUAACUUUGAUCUAAUUAACUAAUUAAAAGUGGAUUUUCCGUUUGUAAAAGUAAUGGAAAUGUAUUAGUGGUACUUAUAAUGUUUGUUUUCAAUCUUACAAAGAAUCUUAUUUUAGUGCUAUUAAAAAUAUUCUUAAAUAUUUAAAAAGAAUAAUUAAACCACGUUUGUGGUAUCAUGCAUACUAACUUUGAUCUAAUUAACUAAUUAAAAAUGGGUUGUUCCAUUUGUAAAAGUAAUGGAAACGUAUUAGUGGUACUUCUAACUUUCUAGGCCACUCACUAGGUUUUGACAUAGUGAUCGAACCUUUGAUCAAUUGAGUUGUCGUGUGCGAUAUAUUUCAUAAUGACUAAUUGAUGCAUGGUGGUUUAGACUUAGUCUUAAUUGGUUGAGGACUUGUUGAUCAGAUGUUAAUCGAUUAAGGUUCUUGCACCUUAAUGAUUACCUCCAAGUGUACUUUUAUUUAAUAGCAUGUUUCUUAGUCCAUCGCCUAAUCCACUAAUUCAGCUAAAAAUGUGCCUAAGGGCUAGUUUCACUCUAGAACUCUUAUUUAAAACUUUCCAACCUUGAGCAAUCAUUGUAGCAAUUUAUUGAAUGGUUCUCUAGAAUACUCUUAUUCCCAAACUCGCAAGUCUCAUUUAGUCUACCUUAAUCUUAGUUUAUUUAUAUAUUUGAUCCUGAAUUUUGCAAACUAGAAAGCUUACUUUAAGAAAUUCACUCUUGUAUUCAUGAAAGAGUAUACUGAAAUGUAAGGGAUCACUUGAGGGCAUUGCAAAGGCAUAUUGGAAGCUUAAAUAUAAGUGUAAAAAAAUUAAAAGCAAAAUCUUAGCACUAGUGAAUGGACCUCAAGCUUAGAUUGAUGAAAGAGAGAGUGGAUAUAGGAGUUAUAGAACCAUUAUAAGUACUUUAUUGCAUCACUCUAUCCCUAUCUCUAUUAAUUUACUUGCACUAUAUUAAUUUUUAUAAUUUGCUUUUUAAUUUUCUAAAUUUUGCAAAAGAACUAACACCGAAUUCUCCUCCCCUCUUGGGUGUCUUCCUCAAGUGAACUCAACUAAUUUGCUUUUCAAUUUUCUAAAAUCAUGAAUCAAUGUAUCAUAAAGCAAAUCCACUAAUUUAAAAAGAAUUAAUACACGGUUUUACCUUAACCAUAUGUUAUCUUCCCCUAAUAAUCUUACACCAAUCAACACAUCCAUUUGUUUUCACGUUUGCAAUGCAAUAUAUGCUCCUUAGUAAACUCCUUAGCAAUUUGAGAUAAUACAAUCAACCAUCAUAAUUUAUCCUUUAAUUAAAGUUAAGUUUUCAGGAAUAUUGGAAACACACAUGAGAAUAACGACAAUUAUUUUCGAGAGCAUGUUGUUUUUUCAAUAUAAGGAGAAAAUCUUACUAAGUCUAUCCAAAUACAUUAAUUGAAAAAAAUAUAGAAUUAGAAAAUCAUGAAAAAAAAAAAACAAAUGGGUCCAAGGUAAACCGAUGUACUCCAUUUUGUCAUGAAUAUUCACUAAAAAUUACUCAACCGUACACAAGCUUGACACACAACAUUUCCCCACUACGUAAUAGCCAUUAAAUCAAAUGAAAAAUAAAAUCUCCAACGUUAAAUUAAGUUGACACCGUGUGCAUCCCUGGUUUCAUAAUGCAGAGUGAGAUGAAACAGAAUCGAUGCACAAGUACUGGGAAAUAAAAUUACCCAUCACGAGUCUAGAAAAUGGGUUCUGAUAUUUUCACAUAAGACAAUGUUGGAGGAUUCUAGGAAAAGAAAGAGAAUGCGGGAAAGGGAAAAUUCUUCACAUGCCUACAGCAUUUACGGCAUAAAGAACGUUUUCUUUCUCAAAGCAUGUGAUCUUUUUCCUGAGAACCAAACAGAUGGCAAAAGCAAGUUCCUGCUUGUCCAAAAAAACCCUGUACUCAUUGGACUAACAAAGCCUGAAUUAAAUAUGGGCCAUUUCGUACCUUCACCAUGGCCCAUUUCUUGUGAUGUUCUUUUGAAUAAAUUUAAGAAAUUACUGUUAGAAAUCAAAUAGAUUGAAUAAAUAUUUUAAUUUAUAAAAAAAUCAUCUUAAAUAAAUAACAAAUAAUAAAUAGGAGAAGGAAAAGAGAAAGUACGUAUAUUUGCAAUGUUACAUUACCUCACCUUAUCGUUUUCCAAAACUUAUAGUAAGCAAGAAUUGGAUUUACUUCUGCCUUCUAUUCUUCAUCAAUACAAUAUGAACGGUAGAGAAGUCCCUUGUUCUAAAGGAGCCGGGCAAGUCGAUUGAAACAAGCGAAUCGAGGUGGCCUGCAACUACCCUAAACAACACUGCAUAAGAAGCCAACAAACUAGUAUAUAACGCCCACCAUACCCUCUUCAUUUUCAGUACCACCUCACCAUCCUCCAUUCAUAUCGCCCAUUUUCACCCACCUCUUUCUCUCUCUCUCUCUCUCUCUCACUCUCUCAGUUUCUCAGUCUUUCAAUGGCGCUCAAGCUCCAUGGAAUUCCCAUGUCCACUUGCACCACUCGUGUCCUCACCUGUCUCCAUGAGAAAGGCUUGGAUUUUGAGCUUGUCCCUGUUAAUCUCUUUGCAGGUGAACAUAAGCAGCCUCCUUUUCUUGCCAAGAAUGUGAGUCUCACUUUCUUCUUUCUUUCUAAUCAUCUCUCUUUCUUCUCUCUGUAGAUUUUGCUUUCUUUGGGGUUGUAUAAAUUAUGAUUUUCCUUGGUUUGGGUACAUUGUUUUUAAUGUACAGUCUCGUCGAUUUGAUUUUGGUCUUGGUUUUGUUAUACAUAUAUGCAGCCC
rnacentral:lncRNA from 1 species